CAUGGAGCAACCUUGUUUGUCAAUUAGCGUUGAGGUUUCCUUGGUCCAGGCUUUAUUAGUAUCUAUCUUUUCGAUUUAGUUUUCUUCCUUGUUCAUAGAGAUCCCUUAUCUCGUUGUCAGAAGUGCUGUUAUACAGAAGUUCUCAGCUACGACAAUUCUUUCCACAAGUGCAUUUUCAGGUUUUAGUCCAGAUGCUUAUGUUUGCUGUGAUCCAACUGAUGAAGUCUCUUAUGGGUGUGGACAUUUGUUUUCUGUUUCGUCUAUUGGAAGGAUGUAUAUACCACAUAGAGAACAUUAUUGGAGGAUAGUAGGAUCUAUAUACUACACAGUGAACAGUAUGGGGGGAUUAGAUUUGCAAUCUGUAAAGGUUAGUGUUUAGUUAACUGGUCGUUUAGGUGCUUGCACUGCAAUCUGGAUAUUGUUAGUGCUUCGAGAAAAAGGGGGUUUCUAAAUAUUGUCUACGUCUUCUGUAGUGAUUUCCCAAGUGGUUUGGGUUUUGCCAGUUUUGUACUGUUCCUUCUUUCUGUGUUUGCAGUUGUGGUCUUGAAGAAGUAAAAUUCUUCUUUCCAUGGGGCAGCUUUUGUUUGUUGAUUUAUGUUAAGGUUUCAUUUGGUUCAAGCUGCUGUGAGUGCCGAAUUUUCAGUUCAGUUCUCCUCUUGUCAGUAUGAUAUUUUUUUUUACUGUACUCUCUUUGAAACGGUGCUCUUCUUGUAGUGAGUUUAAUUGAGAAUUUUGCAUGUCAGUGGUGCUUACCGCACAUGGUCAUAUCAUUCAAUUUCUGAUUCUUUUAUUGGGUGCACUAUCUGCAGCCAUAAUCACUAUUUUCAGGCUAAUUGUUGGGUAAUGAAGCCUCUUUUUUCAAAGUUACCUAUUUCAAAAUAUAAUACAAAAUUGAAGGCUCUUUUUAUUUUUGGAGGUCUCUCCUAUUUUUUUCUUGUUUUUUAACAUGCCUAUUAUGUUUCAGAUAUUCAGUCAUUUGAGGAGUUGCUUCAGACUGUCAGCUAUUAUGUAAAACUUUAAUGCAAAAAGAGAGAUCUUUCACACUUUUUUUCUCCAUGAAACAUUGCCAUUUGAACAGUCUUUGCAUCAAAGAGCUAGCGGCAAUUCAUUGGAUUUAGAGCAGAUCAAGUAAAAAACUUGGCUCAUCUUUUGUGUAAAAGGUCAUAUAUUCAACACAAAGGUAACUAUUUUUUUCUGUGUAAAAGAUCGUCUCAUGAAAUAUACCCUUGUAAAUCCAUCACAUAUCAGAUCAUCGUGCAAGUUGGGAAUUUUUUCAACAAAUCUUGUUAUUCUAGAUACUCUUCCAAGUUAAGGUUUGCACUAAUUUUCUUAAUAUGGUUGAAAUCACCAUUGAUUAUAGGUAACCUUUGUUCUGUCAUUCUCUGUGGUGUUGCUAUAUCAUUGGUGUAUGUUGAGUCAAAUGUCACUUCACAGAUGGUAUGUUUUGUAAAAUGUCACUAACCAGAUAAGAGUUUCAAAAAAAAUAAAUAAAAAAAGUUUCAAAAAAAAUGUUACUAACCAGAUAGUCUGUUCAGCCAAAUGACACUUCACAGAUCAGUCACUGAUGGUUUCAUCACUUGGUUCUCCUCGUGUUCUACUACCAGCUAUAGUUCAUUUCUUAUUUCCGAAAUUGUUCCUUGCUCCUUGGGUUUCUUGUAUUGGUGAUUGAGUAGGAACCUUGCACAAGUAAAUGGGGAUCUUCUAAGAAGCCCGCCCCAGACCGAGCUGUGACAAUUUUGAAAAAAUGCUGCUGUCUUUGCCUCCAUUCAUGGAGUAUAACUCUUCAUUCACAUGUUGCACUUUACGUAUGGCUGUUAUACUUUGGAUAUCGUAUGAUUUUAGAGGAGUUUUCUGUUUUUUUUAAAAAUAAUUUUUCCUUGUAUAUAAUCUAUGAGUAUGUUCCACUGUGCUUUGAUUUUCUUGGUUGUAUCAUUAGGAAACAACAUUUUGGUGAAGAGGGUUCCGACUAUGAUUUUAGGUGCAGGUUCUUAGGAGUUCUCUUGGAAUUCUUUUGUGAAUCAGGUUUCGGUUAAGACCUAUCUUCUUUCUCCCCCUUCCCCUAAUGGGGGUAGAGCUGGCAGCCUCUUUCUGAUGGUUAGAGAUGUUGAUAGUGGCUCCAUGUGUGCAAGAUUUUAUUCAGGUCUUGCAUAAUGUGAUAAUGAGAAUGUCUGGUGGUUUUGAUUACAUGAUCUUUAUAUGUUUGUCUUUGAUGGUUUGGUGUUGAUAUCUCUCUACUUAAUCUUGUACUCAUUUGUUUCAUCGUGUUACUCUAUAAACAUCCCUGCUUGGUCAUAAUGGGGAGGGCAGGCAACUCGAGUUCUUUUCUUCUGCCAGUUGUCUUAUCUGAUCUGGUGGGUUUCAAUUUUCUCCCAGGUGCAGGUUUCUUCUCCAUGGUUUGUAGCUGUUGGAAGCUUGGUGGUUGGGAGGAGUCUAGGAUGAUUUUUUUGAGGUUUCUUGCCAUUAUUAUCUGUUCAUUUUCCUGAUGACCAGAGAUGGUUGAUGAUUUUUUGGGUAUUUACAGAAUUGGAUAAGGUCUGUAUUUGUUGGUGCAGUUGUAUUCGUAAGUUUUCUGAUUUUGCUCUAUAAUGGUAUGGAAAAUGAGAAGAUCUGUCGGUUGCAGAAAAGAACGUCUAGCAGAAUACUUGGCCUCAUGUGCUUGGAAGUCCCUGGGUUUGCAGAUUUAUUUUGAAGUUUGACUUUGCUGUAAAUUCUCACUUUUGUUGGUUUCUCACUUUAGGUUAUGCCAAUUUUUUUCUGGUUCUACUUGUGGUAGUAUGAUGGUAAGGGUAUAGACCAUGCAGUUUCUGCUGUUGGGUGUCAAUGAUCUUUCAUUCUUUUGUAACAAAGUAAACCUCACCUCUGGUACCAGCAGCAGAUCAUCUUUUCUUGCAUCUUCUCCUAUGGAGCACUAUUAGUACAAGUUUCUGUGUCUUCCCUCAUAGAUGUUGCUUUCUGUAUUCCAUGUUGUUAGGUGAUUGGCUCAUUCAAAAUCACGAAGAGGGUCUCUCUCCCAUGUUUUCUGGCUUUCUUUAUGUAUUAACUGCCCAUGAGCUUUAAAUGGUGUGUACAGGUGUUAUGAGUUGUGAAUUUUUUGUGUUAUCUACCGUGAGCAAAUUUUUAGUUGCACAGUGAUAUUUCGUUUUCCACCCAAUGAACCCACCAAACAUGAGAAGGGAUGGAUCAAGGAGGUUCUAAGAAGCAGUCUGUUAUAGUCAUACAGUGGUUUUGAUAAUGUUCGACAAUUCGACUCAUGUUUUUUAAGCAUUUGUUGUAUUUGCUGAUCUGGAUCUCUUACCUGUAAAACAGCACUACGGAUGUGAGUGUACUGUUUGUGAAGCUGAGAAGGUAUUAGCAUCUUGAAGUAGCAUGGAAGCUUUGGUUUCAGUUUGUUUGGUGUACUUUUCUCUCCUCUAAGCUGCAGUUGUCUAAAUUUGCCAGUCAAGAGUUAUCAGCUCAGAGAUCUUGGUUUUGAGCAACUGUUUGUCUAGCUUUUGUUCCUCUUUCCUCUAAAGUGUCUUAUAGCUAUUUUGAGAGCGAUAGGUACGCAGGACAUUUUUUUUGACGAAUAUACAUUAAUUCAGUUCCAUAUAAGCAGUUUUUGCUCCCCAGAAGUGGUGGGAAGUUGGAAGAUAGUAAAAUCGGUUGUUCCGGAGCAUGUUAAACUGAAGAAGUUCCUGGUAUGGACACUUGGAUUCCUGUUUUGACAUUGUUCUAGUCAUUUUUGCAUGUUCCAAAGUAUUCAAAUCUCUGGUUCGGAUUAACAUUACUAUUGCUUCUGGUUAUUUUGUGGGUGUGUGUUCGACUACACUUGGGUGUUCUAGUCUCCGUACUAGCUAAUGUGCUUUCUCCUACGAUGUGUAGUAAUUUGUUAAUCUAAGUGCACCUUGCAGUUUAUGGAGGAUGAGUGUUCUGUUAGGGCAGCGGUGUCGGUGGUAGAGUUUUAGCUAUUGAGUAAAACUAAAUGUUCUCAAAUUAUUGUCUCCUCACAUGUACGAAAUGCAGUUACUGAAUAUAGGUGGUCUACAGGGUAACAUUCUAACAAGUAUAGGUGUGAAGCAACUUUCUAUUUUGGGUUGUUAUGAUGAGUUGGGUAUCUCUUUCUUUGGCUUAUCUCACAUGCUUAUUUGGUCUCUUUUGAUUUGGGAUUGGUAUCUGUGGAUUAUUUAUCUGGGAUGUGAUAAGCUUGAGUUCAGGGAAUAACAGGAGAUGCUUCCUCUCAUAUCUGUACAAAUGGAAGUUUCAACUCUGGAAGCAGCACUUGAUGAAGCAUCCUGAAACUUAAUGUUGUGUUCUCCUUUGUGGUAGAUGUGAGAGCAGGGAAGGACCAAGGUUCCAUGCUUGUAGUGAUGGAGCUGGUGUAAAAAAUUGAUUCCAGGGUACAUAUUGUUCUUUCUUUGUGCAGAUACGUCGUAGCUCCAAAACUGGAGAAUCUGCUUUCUGGAUAUUAUAUAUAUUUUAAGUUGUUGAAGGUGAUAUGAAAUUGUGGAUUUUCACGAA